rnacentral:rRNA from 1 species
GAUGAACGCUGGCGGCGUGCUUAACACAUGCAAGUCGAACGGGAAACCUUUUAUUGAAGCUUCGGCAGAUUUAGAUUGUUUCUAGUGGCGGACGGGUGAGUAACGCGUGGGUAACCUGCCUUAUACAGGGGGAUAACAGUCAGAAAUGACUGCUAAUACCGCAUAAGCGCACAGGACCGCAUGGUCCGGUGUGAAAAACUCCGGUGGUAUAAGAUGGACCCGCGUUGGAUUAGCUAGUUGGUGAGGUAACGGCCCACCAAGGCGACGAUCCAUAGCCGGCCUGAGAGGGUGAACGGCCACAUUGGGACUGAGACACGGCCCAGACUCCUACGGGAGGCAGCAGUGGGGAAUAUUGCACAAUGGGGGAAACCCUGAUGCAGCGACGCCGCGUGAAGGAAGAAGUAUCUCGGUAUGUAAACUUCUAUCAGCAGGGAAGAAAAUGACGGUACC